UACGAAGGGGGCGAGCGUUGUUCGGAUUUACUGGGCGUAAAGGGCGCGUAGGCGGCGCAACAAGUCAGGCGUGAAAGCCCCGGGCUCAACCUGGGAGGUGCGCUUGGGACUGUGGUGCUGGAGUUCGGGAGAGGAGCGUGGAAUUCCCAGUGUAGAGGUGAAAUUCGUAGAUAUUGGGAAGAACACCGGGUGGCGAAGGCGGCGCUCUGGACCGAGACUGACGCUGAGGCGCGAAGGCGUGGGGAGCAAACAGG
rnacentral:rRNA from 1 species